rnacentral:lncRNA from 1 species
UAGAGUAAGGUUUCUAGGUCAUUAUGUUACCUAGUGGACCAUUACUCCAAUAAAAAGAUCUAUAGAAUUUGCCAACAAUUUUCCGAAUGAAAUCGUUAAUAAAGUUCAACUACAAAGAUUUUUAGGUAGGCUAAACUAUGUCAGAUUUUUAUCCUGGUUUUAGCAAAUUAUUUAAGCCCUUGUAUGAAAGGCUCAAGAAG